UACGAAGGGAGCUAGCGUUACUCGGAAUCACUGGGCGUAAAGCGUGCGUAGGCGGUUUUGUAAGUCAGAAGUGAAAGCCUGGGGCUCAACCUCAGAAUUGCUUUUGAAACUGCAUAACUAGAGUGUCAUAGGGGAUAGCGGAAUUCCUAGUGUAGAGGUGAAAUUCGUAGAUAUUAGGAGGAACACCGGUGGCGAAGGCGGCUAUCUGGGUGAACACUGACACUCAGAUCCGAAAGCGUGGGGAUCAAACAGG
rnacentral:rRNA from 1 species